rnacentral:tRNA from 1 species
UGGGGUGUAGCUCAAUAGUAGAGCACUCACCUGGCAUGCCUGAAGCCCUGGGUUCAAUUUCCAGUACUGCAA